CCCUCCUUACCAUCGAGAACCCCACCUUCAAUCCGAAUUUGGCAGGCGGGUUCGUGGUGGCAUUUGCCGGAAGAAAGUAUGCAGCAAGAUCAGUUCCACAGAUGAUUUCCGACAAUGAUAACACAGUUACUACUUUAACAUUGGUCCUGGAAUUCCAUGAGGGUACUCUGCAGAACUUGCAUUGGAAAAGCUUCGGCUGCGAUUCGUGCGGCGGAGAUGCCGGUGUCUGCCUCAACAACACGGUGUGU